CCCUUAGAUGUUCUGGGCUGCACGCGCGCUACACUGAAGCUAUCAACACGUUUUCCCUCCCUGAGAAGGGCGGGUAACCUUUGGAAUCAGCUUCGUGGUAGGGAUCGGGGCUUGCAAUUGUUCCCCGUGAACCAGGAAUUCCUAGUAGACGCGAGUCAUAAGCUCGCAUCGAUUAAGUCCCUGCCCUUUGUACACACCGCCCGUCGCUACUACCGAUUGAACGUUUUAGUGAGGCAUUUGGACCGACGCAUCUCAGUUUAACCGCUGGUUUGUGUUGGAAAGACUUCCAAACUUGAGCGUUUAGAGGAAGUAAAAGUCGUAACA
rnacentral:rRNA from 1 species